UACAGAGGGUGCAAGCGUUAAUCGGAAUUACUGGGCGUAAAGCGCUCGUAGGCGGUUACCUAAGUCGAUUGUGAAAGCCCUGGGCUUAACCUGGGAACUGCAGUCGAUACUGGGUGACUAGAGUAUGAUAGAGGAUAGUGGAAUUCCCGGUGUAGCAGUGAAAUGCGUAGAUAUCGGGAGGAACACCAGUGGCGAAGGCGACUUUCUGGAUCAAUACUGACGCUGAGGAGCGAAAGCGUGGGGAGCAAACAGG
rnacentral:rRNA from 1 species